AAAAACGGUAUUGUGCUGGGAAAUGUGUAGAAUUAUUGUCAGCAUUAGCUGUGAGCGCGGUGUGCCAGGAUUCCAAUUAAUGUAGCUCUGUGGCGGUAGUUUGCCUUGUCAAUUAUCUUGCUAUUGUUGAAAUCAAUUUUAUGGUCAUAAGACCAAGCAUGAUUCGCAAUAAUAAAUCCGUUGAGCCCGCUUUAUGUUUCUCGACAUUCUUCACGUACAUGUUCUUUUUUCCCUUGUGAUGAACGCUCGACCCGGCGUCUCACCGAUGUAGCUCCACGAACAAUCAGCGCAAUUUAUGCGAUAGACUACAUUUGUUUGUUCUUGGGAUGGUGGUCUGUCCUUCGGUGAAGGAAACAUUUGUUCAAGCGUG